CUGGCGAUCGUCAGCCGUCCGAUGGAAGAUCCAAGGCCAGGAUUAGAAGAUACCUUUUCGCAGUGAAUCUUCAUAAAGAGUCCCUGGAAAGAUUCGCUAUUUACCCCGCGGUCCCUGGCGCCCUGGAAGAGAUUACGUUUUCUAAGUUUAAAAGCGUAUUCCUGUCUUGUUCAACUCAGUUUACGUUUUCAGAUAUUUACGUUUUUGCCACUGAUUUUGUUUUGCUCAUAAAAUAUUCAUUUUAACUCCGUUUUUGUCCAUUCAAAUUUCGUUAGAUUCGUAUUUACGAGCUAUAUAUGUUAGAAGUAUUAGUUUACUGUUUUGAAACUUUUUAUUUCCGCGGUAGCAUUUUAUUAAUUAUUUCUCUAUAGGAAAUCUUGGAAAAUGCAUAACUUCUCCGUUUCAAUUCCGAUUUUCGUGAACUUUACGUUUGUGUGAUCGUAGCGCUGCGUAGAAUAUUUUCAUAAACUUUUAUAUUUCUUUUACCCCUGAUUGGUGAAAUGUUCUAAUUAUAGCAUGUUUGCUUCGUGUAUGAUUGUCUACAUUGGAUUGCGUGCUGUUGAUUGAUGAUCGAGUAUAGACGGUGAGCCGUGCGUUGGUGAUCAAGACCAAGCCUUUGAAGACCAGCAGGCUCAGGAGAGCUUUGAUCAAGGCAAGUAUAACUUGGGAUCAUCCUUGUUACCUAUUCACUUAUAACUACACAUAUAUAUCAUAUGCAUGCUAUCACCUGGUCGACCUUCGCAAAAUCAUAAAUGAUUGUUACCUGGAUUCCUUGCUACUUACUUGAUAUGCAUUUGGUGUAGAUGUGCUAGUGCUUGAUAUAAUCCAUGAUCUUGUAAGAUGAUUAAUAGCUAUGCAAUGAACGCAAAAAGAUGACAAAUAACUAUAUGAGAUCUUGUCUGUAAGUGAUCACCGGGAUAACAGUGCAACCAUGAGGGCUAUAAUGGCUCUAGCUUUAGCUCAGUAUGAAGACCUUUUCUAGCUUGUUAGAGGUUACCCGAAAGGGUGGAGGGGCUGAACUGACACGGGUAUAGUGCGAGCCCCUGUCCCUAUGUGUAUAGGCUGCGUGUCAUUGUGCCAUUCGGAAGGGGGGUAUCUAUAUCUGCUCGCAAAGGAAACCUUGUGGCCCUAACAUGUUAGACAAACUUUUGAAAGGCUUCAUAGUGAUCCCCGCCGACAUCCCUAGGAAGGAGGUUAAGAGAUUAGCUAGCUCGGGCGAAAGGGUAAAUCAUGACUCAUGGGUAAAGAUGUACAACCUCUGCAGAGUGUUAAAACUGGUAUACUAGCCGUGCUCACGGUUAUGAGCGGCCUUGGGGGUUCUUGCUGCAACGACGAUGAGCUUGUUAAGUUGUUAUGUUCAUUUGAUUACCGUUUAUGCUAUGAGAUUAAUUAUGCUUACACUUGAUCAUGUGGUUAAUGGAUUAUUUAUGCUACCUUGACAUUUGCUAUUAAUUAUGAACAUGGUAUCCACUAUUAAAGCUGAAUGCAGUCAAACCAGUGUCAGCUAUUUGAGCCUCAUGAACCUUUUGUUAUACUUGUUGAGUACGAUAUGUGCUCACUUUUGCAAUUUUCCAACACCCCAGGUUAUGCUAAUGAUGAUGAUGAUUGGAAUGAGGACUAUCGCUAUGAGUAUUAGGUUUGGAGUCAACCAGUCAACAGUGUCCCUAUGUGGAGCUUCCGUCGAGAGCGUUGUUUACUUUAUGCUAUCAUCUUUGUAUGAGACUAUGUGAUUUAUUAUUGUCCCGCUAUAUAAUAAACACUGCAGUGGUGCAUUUGAGAUUUGUCUACUUAUGUGUGCGACUGUUUCUGGGGCACAUAUGAGUCUUUUAUGCAUCCUAUUUUGUUCUUAAAAUAUGGGUGUGACACCCUGUUAUUCCCCAUGAAAUAAAUGAUCGAGAUAUUUUGGUUACUAUCACUUGCUACAUUAUUCCAGGAGGGUGAGUGCUCUGAAAAAAGUGAAAACGAGGAAAUAAAAAGGGGCAAGUGCCCGGAACCUCGAAGAAAAGAAAAAGUGAGACGAGAGGUAAAAAUGGACAAGUGUCCGACAGUAGAAUUAGAG
rnacentral:lncRNA from 1 species